AAUCUUAAUCUUUGACUUUUAUUGAAAAACAUACAAUCUGUAAAUUAUAUUUUAUAAUGAGUAUUUAUAUAAACUAUUUACAAUAAACUAUACACAUGAUUAACACAAGGAGGAAACCCCACAUUAAGGGCACCUUAAUGAAUAUAAAGAUAAAUUAGUGUCUUAAAUCGCGGCACCAUCUUCUUUUGAGGCGUCUGGGGGGAUUUCCAGGGAGGUUUUCAGCUGAUAACUGCACAAUAAGUUGGUUUGAGCUUGAGCCCAGUUUUGAGUGAAAGCGGUUGUAAUACACCCCGGCGAUCUCGUUUACCGAUUGAAGAUUAAGAUCCCGCUUUAGUGUUUGGGGCAGUUCUUCCAAAAAAUGAUAAGAGAUAAGAGUUCUUCCAAAAGAUAACACAAUUUUUAUUUUAUCAGCGUGACCCACCCAGAAACACCAAAAUAUAAAAUCACAUUCUAUCAGUCUGCCAAUUCUAUCAGAAUAAAAGUAAUUAAAAUAUAACUAACGUUUGUCAGAGUUGACUGUUAUCUCUAGAACUAAACGGCAAUAAUUCAAAUGAUAAAAAAAAUAACCGUGUUAAAAUAUAUUAUACUUUCUUAAAUAGUACACAUUUUUACGAUACAUUUAUAAUGACAAAAAACCAACUAGUUCAUAUGACGACAACGAUAAUUAUUGUAUGUUGGUAGUUGUCUGAAGUCAUAAAAAGCUUAUCGGUAUGCUUAUUCAUUAGAGCGGUUCGAUUCCUGAAACUAUCUCUAGUCUGAUUAAGUGUGGUAACAGUUUUAAGAUGAGUCAAAGAUGAUGGUUGACAGUUCUCCAUUGACACUAACUGGAAGAAAUGAUUGUUUUAUCAUUUGUCUAAAUAGACUAGCUAGAAUGUGACCAGAGGAAGAUUAAAUGGACAUAUCAUAUAUUUCUCCAUGGACACUGUAGUAAUCCAUAGACUGACUUUUGACACUAUAUUUGAAUAUUUGUUGUUGACGUUAAUUGGAUUUUGUGCUAAACCCCUGGAAGAAUAUUCUGUAUCAGACUAACAGUAUAAACGCCACCCAGUAAUUCUGUUUACCUGCUGUUAGACAUCGUAGUACCAUCUCCAAUCUCUUUAUAUGUUUAAUUUUAUUUAAAAAAGUCUUAUUAUAAUUUAUUAUUAAUCAAGUGUAAUUCAGUUGAUUAUUUAUUGAAUAACUUAUUAUCCUGUCUUCAAUGUCUAUAUAAACUGUACUGUAUUUAUGACCACUACACUGAUAUCUCAUUUGGCUAAAUAUUUUUAAUUUUCAACUACAUUAAAACAAAAUUAAGAUUGUUUAAAUUUUUUUUUUGAAUAUUUGUAUUAUUGUUUGAAUAUUUUUACACUUUGAGUGUCAAUACAAGUAUCUUAUAAUAUUCUAGAUUUAAAACUGUAUUAGUUUAAAGAUACUAACAGUAUAUUACUAUUACAAUUUUGACAAACAUAAUUAUUAGCCUACCAAACUAAUUAUAAAUGUAGUUUCUGUAUUUACUUAUUUAUUAAUAUUUACUUACCUUAAUAACAUUAAAAUAUUAAUUUAUUGUAAAAAUAUCUUGACCUAACUGAAAGAUUGAAAAUUUGUAAACUGUUGUGAAAUUAUGUCGAUGUCGUUAGGAAAAAAUGUGUAGUCAAUAUGUUGAAUACCUAGAUUAAAAAAAAACGGUACAAUUUUUUUUUUGCUAAAACAAGUAAUUAUACAUUUGUAAAUUUUGAUGUUUAGUUUAUAAAAUAUACUUUUUUUAAUUAAAAAAUAUCUUUACUUAAGUAUCAUAAAAAAAUGUUUUAUUUUAAUCAAUGUCAAUUCACUGAUUAGUAUAUUAUGUAUUAAACAAUUGAAUAUUUCUACAUAUUUUAUACUAUUUACCAGAUUAUUUUAUGUGUCUUAAACUAUUACAUUUAUUAUUUCUAUUAUUACUAUUUAUUGUUUAUUUAAAAUAACUUAUCAAACUUUAUAAAUUAUAAAAUUGGUCUGAAAUGUAUACUGUGUUACUAUAAGUAGCCUGUUAGACAGGAAGUCUAUAUUGUUUUUUAGAAAUAAAAGUUGUCUUUUCUUGGUUAGCUUAAUUAUACAGUGUGAUUCACUAAUUUUCUCUCAUAAUAAUUUCAAUAAGGCAAAAUUAUUUUUCAAAACAUUUUUGUUUGCGUUAUUUUACAACUGAAAACAUAUUUUAGU